GGCAACCCUGACGGAGCAACGCCGCGUGUGGGAGGACGGCCUUCGGGUUGUAAACCACUUUUCUCAGGGAAGAAGAACUGACGGUACCAGAGGAAUAAGCCUCGGCUAACUCCGUGCCAGCAGCCGCGGUAAUACGGAGGAGGCAAGCGUUAUCCGGAAUUAUUGGGCGUAAAGCGUCCGCAGGGGGCACAUCAAGUCUGCUGUUAAAGGCUGGAGCUUAACUCCGGUAGAGCAGUGGAAACUGGUGUGCUAGAGGGCGACAGGGGUAGAGGGAAUUCCCAGUGUAGCGGUGAAAUGCGUAGAGAUUGGGAAGAACACCGGUGGCGAAAGCGCUCUACUGGGUCGCACCUGACCCUCAGGGACGAAAGCUAAGGGAGCG
rnacentral:rRNA from 1 species